GCCUUAUCCAUGUGGAUGAGAGAGUUUCCAAGAGCUGAACCAGAUGAAUCGAGGGGCACUGAGGGCAGACACACCCUGUGGCCUCACUGGGAUGGAGGAGCUGUACCUUUGGCAAUGGACUUGGCUCGAGGCUAUUAAUUUGCUGAACCUGAGCUCUGGGGCAGUUUGGAUAUGGUUCCCGUCCUCAAAUAAAGGCAGCACACAUUGACCUGGAGUUCUGGUGAGGCUCUCGGCCCAAGGAGGGCUGAUUUUUCCAGGGUUUCAUUGCCACAGGGAAGGACAGGCUCGAUAGCCAUUAGGAGGUAAUGAUUGGAAACCCAGUGAUUUUAAAGAUUUCGGAUCGGCUGCUCAAGUAAAGAAACAUUUCAGUGCCCUGCAGUUUAAAAGGGCCCCGACACUGAUGAACGGUGUGUAGAUGCAGUAAAGUUUUAGAAGAGCGGCUGAUGCUUUGUGAUGAUUAAUUUUCCUUCUUACUUGAUCGCCCCAUGGUGCGGGACCCUCAGCUCUGGUGCACUCACCGUGGGCAUCAAGAGAAAGCUGAUGAAGACUCCUAGGGAUUUUGUUACUGUGAAACAGUCUAUUGUUGACGAGCACCCUCUCACUUCCUGAACACCCAGCCCCAAGUCGACAGCAGCCGUGAUACAGACACGGAGGCCAAGCACUGGUCCAGCUCGGUGCAGCAGCCUCACAGCCUGCCACCGGGGAGAAAUGGA
rnacentral:lncRNA from 1 species